rnacentral:rRNA from 1 species
GACGAACGCUGGCGGCGUGCUUAACACAUGCAAGUCGAACGGAAAGGCCCUGCUUUUGUGGGGUGCUCGAGUGGCGAACGGGUGCGUAACACGUGAGUAACCUGCCCUUGACUUUGGGAUAACUUCAGGAAACUGGGGCUAAUACCGGAUAGGAGCUCCUGCUGCAUGGUGGGGGUUGGAAAGUUUCGGCGGUUGGGGAUGGACUCGCGGCUUAUCAGCUUGUUGGUGGGGUAGUGGCUUACCAAGGCUUUGACGGGUAGCCGGCCUGAGAGGGUGACCGGCCACAUUGGGACUGAGAUGCGGCCCAGACUCCUACGGGAGGCAGCAGUGGGGAAUAUUGCACAAUGGGCGGAAGCCUGAUGCAGCAACGCCGCGUGCGGGAUGACGGCCUUCGGGUUGUAAACCGCUUUCGCCUGUGACGAAGCGUGAGUGACGGUAAUGGGUAAAGAAGCACCGGCUAACUACGUG